UGAGUAGCAUCCGAAGAAAAU
ensembl:piRNA 21ur-3189 ncRNA